rnacentral:rRNA from 1 species
AUACGGAGGGGGUUAGCGUUAUUCGGAUUUACUGGGUGUAAAGGGAUCGUAGGCGGAAUGCUAAGUUAGAUGUGAAAGCCCUGGGCUCAACCCAGGAAUUGCAUUUAAAACUGGCAAUCUAGAGUGUUGGAGAGGAUGACGGAAUUACAAGUGUAGAGGUGAAAUUCGUAGAUAUUUGUAGGAACAUCAGUGGCGAAGGCGGUUGUCUGGCCAAACACUGACGCUGAGGGUCGAAAGCGUGGGGAGCAAACAGGAUUAGAUACCCUGGUAGUCCACGCCGUAAACGAUGGAUACUAACUGUUGGGCCGAAAGGUUUAGUGGUGAAGCUAACGCGAUAAGUAUCCCACCUGGGGAGUACGGCCGCAAGGUUAAAACUCAAAGGAAUUGACGGGGACCCGCACAAGCGGUGGAGCAUGUUGUUUAAUUCGAUGCAACGCGAAGAACCUUACCUAGACUUGAUCCUCAUCGUAGAUUAUGUAAUGUAAUCGUCAGUUCGGCUGGAUGAGUGACAGAUGCUGC